GAAGCCACCAACCUUGGCGCCCUACCGCAUGGUGCCACCCGAACAUGAGGAAGCGGUUAUUACGCGAGCCAACCUCGACAAGGUCGCAGGAAAAAUGAAGAAAAGGGUGGAUCGCGUGGUUUCAAAAAAGGAGCAUGGCAGCACCUCCAGCAUUACAAGCACGAGGGCGCGACGAGGACGCCGCGAGCUUAGGUGGGGGAGGAUGUUACGGACCGCCCAAGUUGAUAGCCCAAUCAUCCAUAAUAUUGGGCUAGGAAGCCAAUGUAAGGCCAAGAGUCCUAGCUUGGCCCAAUUCCGGAACAUUCUAGACAACUCCAGCACAUUUGAGCAACUCUAGAUUCCGGAACGUUCUAGGGAACUCUAGCACAUUGGAGAACUCUCUAGAGCUCUCUAGAACUCUCUAG
rnacentral:lncRNA from 1 species